rnacentral:RNase_P_RNA from 1 species
GUGAGCUAGUGCACGGGUUACUCGAAAGAGAGGAAACUCCUCCCUCAUAAUAGGCACUCGAAUUAGUGAUAAUUAGCUGGAGACAGCUGGCAACGAAACAGAAAGGAAAUCCAGUCAGUCAAAGAUGAUAGUGAUGGCAAAUAGCCUGAAGAUACUGAUGCUGGAAUGAAACCGUCGACCCGAGUGGAGCAAGGCCAAACAGGGUCAAACAUUCCUAUAUGUGCCCAGGUUGGCCGCUGAGCGGAAUCCCGUCUAAAACAGAAGGAGGGUUACGGCUAGCACAC